AGUGAAGAUUAUACUUCCUCCUAUACCCAUUCCCAAUCUGCACAUCCUGACCAGUUAUCCGGGUACAUAUGAUGCCAUAGUCCAAGUCUGGAACCAAGUUGGCCAGGAAAUGUUUUGUCUCAACAUCACCGCGGAGGUGCAAGAGGUCUACAGCGAGAUGGUCAACGACAUAAUGCAUUAGAGGGUUAAUGAUAUCAUGCAUUAGAGGGUUAAUGAUAACAUGCAUUAGAGGGUUAAUGACAUCAUGCAUUAGAGGGUUAAUGAUAUCUUACAUUAGAUGGGUAAUGAUAUCUUACAUUAGAUGAGUAAUGAUAUCUUACAUUAGAUGGGUAAUGAUAUCAUGCAUUAGAGGGUUAAUGAUAUCAUCGUGAGCUUGAGGGUUGAUGUCUUGAGUUAGAUGGUUAAUGUCAGCUUGAAUUAAAGGGUUAACAACAUCUUACACUAGAGGGUUAACGACUUCAUGCGCUAGAUGGUUAAUAAAAUCUUGAAUUAGAGGGGUUGAAGACAUCGUGCACUAGAGGGUGAAUGAUACCAUGUGUUAGAGUGUGAAAGAACUGCUCAGAGAGUCAAUGUCAUCUUACUCAAACAAUCAUCAAAAGAAUGUAAAGACACAGCAACCAAUAGCACAUUUACAUUUAUUAAAGAAUAAAGAUUUUUUUUUUGUU